GCUUACACAUGCAAGUCGAACGCGUGUAGCAAUACACGAGUGGCGCACGGGUGAGUAACGCGUGGAUAUCUGCCUUUUGGUUCGGAAUAACCCCGGGAAACUGGGGCUAAUACCGGAUGGUUCCUUCGGGAUAAAGAUUUAUCGCCAAAAGAUGAGUCCGCGUACGAUUAGCUAGUUGGUGAGGUAAUGGCUCACCAAGGCGACGAUCGUUAGCUGGUCUGAGAGGACGAUCAGCCACACUGGGACUGAGACACGGCCCAGACUCCUACGGGAGGCAGCAGUGGGGAAUAUUGGACAAUGGGGGCAACCCUGAUCCAGCCAUGCCGCGUGAGUGAUGAAGGCCUUCGGGUUGUAAAGCUCUUUUGGCGGGGACGAUGAUGACGGUACCCGCAGAAUAAGCCCCGGCUAACUUCGUGCCAGCAGCCGCGGUAAGACGAAGGGGGCUAGCGUUGUUCGGAAUUACUGGGCGUAAAGCGAGUGUAGGCGGUUGCCCAAGUCAGGUGUGAAAGCCUUGAGCUCAACUCAAGAAAUGCACUUGGUACUGGGUGGCUAGAGGACCGGAGAGGAUAGUGGAAUUCCCAGUGUAGUGGUGAAAUACGUAGAGAUUGGG
rnacentral:rRNA from 1 species